AAAAAUACAAAUUUGCAAGGUGCUUUAAAUCUAAAAUUAGAUCUGAACUUUACACAUCUCUCUAGAUGUGUGUGUAUAUAUAUACCCGUGUAUGUAAGUUCUAUUGUCAAAUUACGAAUAACAUAAAACACCAUUUCCAAAUUUUGGAACAGUAACCUGGUAUUGCAAAAUAAAAAAAAAAAUUAAAACAACACCAUCACCACCACCAAAGUAACCCUAGCGAAUUCCUCGGCAUCAAUCCUUCUCACAUUUAGACCACCUAAAGUGUGCAGCGCUACACUGGGGAGACUUGAUCUGAUGCAGUCAUUUGAUACAGCAAAGACAUCCUGCCAAAUCUAAAGUCUUAUAAUGUCUAAGAGACUGGCUUUGUCCCUAUUCCUCUACCAUGACCAUGAAACACCUGUGUGGAUCGGUAGAAAGAAUGGGUUUGGUGUGAGCAAAGGUGUGUGUGGUGCAGAGAAAAACUCUUAGCCUUUUUUCACUUGAUUUGCCAAAUCCCCAGCCCUGCAUCAGGGCUCCCAGCUCUGCCCAGCUGCCGGAUGGUGCUCUGGGAUUCAUCCCCUGCACUGCCUGCUUCUCUUUUCUGUUCACUGGAUCCCUUUGCUGUCCUAUGACCUGUCUAAUGCGGAGGAGAAGAAACGUGGUUGACUGCACAAAGAGGUUUCCCUCAUCCAUCAGUUCAUCUUCCCCUCCAGCCCUCUGCCAUAAAAUUGGCCCGUGAAAAGGAACACUGGAAGAAAAAGGACAAAAGCUGGACUAAAGUAAUCAAAGGAAGGGAAGAAGGAAGAGGUGAUGGGAGCAGCCAGAGCUCAGCAUGUAGGGUGAAGGGAGCUGCACCAAGCAGGAAAAGAUGCUUUCUGUCUUUCACCUGAUGACAAUCCCUCCUGAAGUGCUGAGACUUGAAAUUAAAACAGAGACUUCAUUUCAUGAGUGUGUGUGAUGCCUAAUGCUGGUUUUAUAGAAUUAUGUGGAAACCUCAUGCAAAUUUGCCUUCAGGCUUUUCCAUGUCCUAACCCAGACAGCUCUUUCCUCCUUUCAAUGCUUAGCAACUUAUAUCGUUCUAAACUACAGAGACAGUGUAUUAGUUUACCCAAAUUCACUGUCAUUUGAUUGCAUUUUGUUUUACUCACAAGUGAAUGAUGCAGAGGUGCCAGUGCAAGAAGUCUUCCAUGCAAACCCCCGCUAGCAGCAAACAGAUGGACAGAUUCCAGGUUGUCUUAAUUUUUUCAAUUAGCUGUUCUAAUACAAUUCCUCACCAAGCAUUUCUGAUCUUCAAGGUGUUGCAUUUACAAGAAAGCAUUAGAGAAAGAGGAGGUAUCUUUGCUUAUCAGAUUAAAGAAACUAAUUAUGUUGAGGAUUUUUUAGUACUUAAAAAAACAAGAAGUGGGUGUUAGCUCUAUGUCAUGCUACAAAACAUCAACGUGGUGACCCCAUUUAAUUAUUUUCUUCAUUCACUAAGCUCCUAUAUCGGCAAGACUUCUUGCAUUUCACGGGGACAAUGGGAUACUCAAAGACAAAAGAUGAUGUUUAAAAAGAAAAUAACUAAUUAGAUGUCAAAGCUUUAUAUUAAAAGUGCUCAGUGAGAAAAACACUGAGGGAUUUUGCACAGAUACAAAGGCAAACAGGAGGUUUAUCCUAUUAACUAUGUGCUUCUAAUCCAUAUAUCCACUCAGAAUCUAGCCAUUUUAUCCAUCAGCCAGGCUGGUUUGCAUUAAAGAGGGACAAAAUCUGAAUAUGACGUGGGUAUUUCUAUGGCUUACUGUACCUUUUUUCAUAUGAUGUCAUUUUUUCUGCGUAAGUGGCUUUGCCAGGAUGAUUGCUGAAGUGAGAAUUGGAUACCAGGGUAUCAGUCAUUCUAUAUGUCUGCCACAAGUGCUCCUACUUCUUUAAUGCUGCUGAACUUUUGUUCAUAACGCACAAAUGCACACAGUUUUCAUUAUAGUACUGAAGCAUAAGUGGGGAGGACUAGAAAAUAAGAAAGUACCAGUCAGCACCUUUUUAAGCAUGCACAGUGUGUAAUUGAAAAUGUUGCAGGACCCAAUUGUCAACCUAAUAUCAUUUUAAGGCAUAAAAUCAUGGAACUGUUUUCUUCAGUAUUCAAGACGUGGUUAUGACAGACACUUAUAUGCUGGCGAAGUCUCACAUAUGUUAUCAGCAAUUCUGCAGCAUGGUUACAAGGAAAAUUGUUUGCAUAUUAAUUAUUACAUCAAAAGAAGAAAAUAGUGUUCCCUGAUCCAGAAGACACUUUGGAAGUCACCAAGGAAAGCUCCAAGUGGAGGAACAACAUAUAAGGUAAAUAGUGUCUUUUUCAGGGAGGAAAAAGAAAAAGAAAAAAAAAAAAGGACUGAGGCCCUGCAAAGUGCUGGUUAAGUGUAAUACACUUCAUGCAGAUUCAAAAGUGCAAAAUGCUACUAGAUAGAAGAUGAUGACAGAUCUUUGCUCUUGUCAGCAGAGAGACAGUAACUGUAUCAAGUCAUUAUCACCCAAGUUGUUACUGUGAAGUGUAAAUAAAACAAAAAUAGCGACACAGAAGAUUGUGAGAUUGUUGAUCCAGAUUCUGGAUAUUUGGAAACCAGCAACAGAAGACUCAGCUGCGAAGCACCUUCAUCUUGAACUGGAAGCUGAAUUUAGAGGAGUGCUAUGUUUUAUCAUGAAAAGAGAAAUCAUCCUGUAUCCAGACAGCUUGUGAUAAACCCGACAGCAAUAAUCUAGCACUAAAGACGGUCUAAAGCAGCCAAUUCAAAAGAAAAAUACCUUCAAGUGGUUUCGAGUAGAACAGCUUUACAGAUGAGAGAUGACAUCAAAGUAGAAACUGUGAAAGAGUUGUUGUCUUCUUGAUGAUGAGAAUUCAAUCACGAUUCACUAAUUAUACCUAUUUCAGUCGCAGUCUUUCCUGCACAGCGUUAGCAGAAGAAAGAUUUAAGACCAUCAACCACAAUACUUCACUCACUUGAAGUUCCAGUGCCAAGAUUUAGUUUAUGUAGUCACCUGCUGAAAGAAAUCCAUUCACCAAAGCACAUUUUGCUGCUAUUUAGCAUUCAGUCUUUAAGAGGCAAUGUGGAGCUUAUUUGACUCUGAUGCAGCAGAUUUCAAAUUAAAGAGGCUGAUGCAGGCCUUUUUAUCUAUAAGCUAGAAUCAGCCUCAGAGAGAGAGCUGGUACUGUCACCAUACGUUGUCUGCCGUGUGUAUAGUGUACUGGCUUGUGACUGUGCUGACAGACUUGAGGAGACAGUAUGCAGAAAAGAUGCAUCUCUGUUUUCAGCCUCCAUUCACUAGGUUACAGCAAGAAAGACCCCUAGCUAGUGCUUUGAAGAGCAGCAGUGUGCAAUUACUGUUUCUCCUGGUGAAGAACAUGGAGUCAGGUGAAGUAUUGAAAGCAUUGCCGUGCUUGCAGAGCCUGGUUUGGAUACUUCCUCACUCAUGUACCCAAACAGCCCCUCAGCACUUUGAAACUACCUUGAUAUGCUGUUUGUGCAUGUGGACUUUUACAUAUGUUUGCAAAUCCACC
ensembl:lncRNA